UACGUAGGGUGCGAGCGUUGUCCGGAAUUAUUGGGCGUAAAGAGCUCGUAGGCGGUCUGUCGCGUCUGCUGUGAAGUCUGGGGGCUCAACCCCCAGCCUGCAGUGGGUACGGGCAGACUAGAGUGCGGUAGGGGAGAUUGGAACUCCUGGUGUAGCGGUGGAAUGCGCAGAUAUCAGGAAGAACACCGAUGGCGAAGGCAGAUCUCUGGGCCGUAACUGACGCUGAGGAGCGAAAGCAUGGGGAGCGAACAGG
rnacentral:rRNA from 1 species